UGUGUGUGUGUGGUAUGUGUGUAUGUGGUGUGUGUGUUCUCAUGCUAUAAGUAUACAUGUUACAUGUGUGUAGGUGCAUGUAUUGACGAAAGAACAGUUCCAGGUGCCAUUCCUAAGGAGCUGUGCAUCUUAUUAUGGGCUUGUUCAUGUUUUGGUGGUUUAGCUAUUUUGUUGUUCUUGUCAUUGUAGUUAGGUUGGCCAGGUUUUUGUUCUGGUUUUGGUUUGGGUGUUUGGAGACUUGGUCUCUCUGUCUUGGAUCCAGGGCUAGCCAAUUCAGCCAGGUUGCCUGACUAGCAAGCCUCAGGAAUCUUCUGUGCCCCCCACCCACCCAGUGCUGGAAUUGCAAGCAUACAUCAUUACACUCAGCAUUCUUCUUUAAACCUGUUGUUCAGAUGAAAGUCAAGCACUCUACCCACUGAGCUAUUUCUCCCAUCCCCUACCUAGUAAUUUUACUGGAAACCACCCUCUACUUCCUUCUGCUCAGUGCUCUAGCAGACAUCUGGGGUUCUGCCUGAUUUCUCCUUCUGUCUAGAUCACCAAUCCAUACCAGCUGUUCUAGCUCCCAGUUCUCAAACCUGCCCUCUUCCAUCCUGUUCUUUCCCAGUUUACAAAUAGGAGCCUACCUGUGUCUUUGUUUUUCUCACUUGUUCUUAGGAGCCCAGUUUCCAACUGGCAGCCAAGAUGUUUUUUGUUUGUUUAUUUGGUUUUUUUCUUUUAUUGUUGCUGUUGUUUAGACAGUCUCACUAUAAUAGUCCUGGCAGGCCUGGAACUCACAGAUAGCCUUCUGCCCCCACUGCCAAGUGCUGAAAUUAAAGGUGUAUGCCACCAUACCCAGGUACGGUGAUCUUUUAAAUGAAUGAAAUUGUGUCAUUCCUCUGCUUGAAAGCCAUCAGUGGCUUCCCACCACGCUUGGAAAUUAUUGGAGUUUCCUUCAUGAGUGCUACCAAAACCCUGGAUGAUCUUGUAUAUGCUGUCUUCCUUGACAUCCCACUCCCGUGUGUGUGUGUGUGUGUGUGUGUGUGUGUGUGCGCGCGCGCGCGCGCGCGCGCCUGUUCUUAGCACUAGCCAAACUAUUGGGAUCUUCCCCACAAGGUUUCUUCUUUUGGGGACACUGUCUGCUGGGUCUUGGCUUCCCUCACUUUUACUCAUCUUUAAAGAUCUUAUUUAAAUGUUUGUGCUCUGGGAAUAAUUCUAAGGUAUCAGCAUGAAAUUCCUAUAUAUGUAUAUCUGAAACACACACCCAAAUGGAGCCUGUUAAGUGUUUGGCUAGAUACCUGCUUGAUGUAGACCUCAUUCCCUGGACUAUAAGCCGGGCAGAAGCAGAGCCUGUGACUGUGUCAUCACACCUCUUUGCAGCAUUGUUUACUCAGAAUCACAACACUCUGAUGCGCAUACAGCUGGAUUUCAGUCUCACCACGGCCAUCAUUUUACUGAACUCACUUUACAGAGGUGGGAUCCGAAGCACCGAAGCCAGAUAUUGCCCAAGGUCACACACAUGGUGGGUAGAGGGCCCGGCAGAGCCUCUCUAUUCCACUCAUACAGAAGAUGCACAAUACCCAGUUGCUGGGGAAGGAAGGACCCUGGGUUAACGGAUGUGGAAUAAUUGGAGUAGAAGUGUCCAGAGGGUACCAGGCAUGGCUCUCCAGGCCGGUCUUUUGAAGGUGUUUUCUAUGGUUGAUAUGAUAAGAAGCAAGUACCAUCCCAAAGUCAAUGUGAAAUAGAAGACAAAGAGACAGUGUCCAACAUUUGAGAAGUUAUAUAGUGCCCAACAAGUACACAUAGCCCAUUGGAGAUGGAUUUACAAAUGAGCUGAAGAGGUUUCAGCCAUACUACCUGUGAUGUACUGUUUCUCCAUCUUUGGAUGCAGAAUAGCAGUUCAGGCCAUUAAGAAAGUAACAUGCAUGUAUGUACACACAUGAACUUCAGCUGACAGCACAAUACAGCAGGAGGGAAGCAGGGACCCAUGAAGGACCUAUUUCAUGAACAUAAAUGGUCACCUACCAUUUGUCCCAACUUUAUGAAGUUGUCACAAGCCCCUCUCAUCCCCACUUUACUCAAGUUUACAUGAGAGGUGUCACGGCACAGACAAUCUGAAAUGCUACCUGCCUCCUCUGCUUCAAUUUACCAAAGAAAGACCUUGGACAGGCUUGAACCAGACACCUCGCUAGUCUGUGAGCCCCACUGUGACAGCCACGUGAUUCCUAAGCACAUCACCACUCCUCCUUAGGACAACAAUGAUUACUUUCCAUAAAUAAAUUAUUAUGUUUCGGCAUUAAGAUGGAAGGCUUCCAAUAAGUAACUCUACUGGGUUCCCAAAACUCUGAGCUUUUACUGUGGUUAUACUCAUUUCAUAGAGAUAACAUUGAAGCUUACGACUUUAAUAACCUAUUCAGAUCUACCGAGGCAGUUGAUAAUUAGCAGAAGGGAGAUGCAAACCUAAGCCUUCCUGAACUGUGACCCCUUGUCUGGACCAAGGAUGUCAAUGACAUGUGUGUUUCUGAGGAUACUAGGCUGUUAAGAAAGAAGGAGAUGGAUAAAAGAUGUUUAAGAGAAAGGGGCUUGGCCAGUUUUCUUACACUUCAUACAAUGAACCAUGCUGAGUUCACAGUCUGCUUCAAGUCUCUUUUCCCUGAGAUGAGGGCAGAUCAAACCACAAUAUCCCCCAUUCAUUCAUUCAUGACUUGAGUUAGACAAAUCUGGGUCUGUUCAAUGAAAAUACAAGAUUAAAUAAGACCUGGUUUCUACUCUGAGUAAGCUCUCCAUCUGAUGAGGGGGAAAAGACUUAUAAAUUAAUUAUUAGACUCCAUAUAAUAAAUGCUCCCUGGUGGAUGGAGAUACUGUGAGUCAAGGGGAAGAACAACUGGGGGAAAAAAAAGAGCCUGAAGCAACAGAAAGAGCUUGGAACCAACUUUGAAAGACAGCAAAACAACUGGAUGUGAUUCUUAUCUCUGUGACCUUGAACCAGUUGAAAUGCUUUGAGCUGUACCGUUUUUUUGUGCAGGAAAACAGCGUCAAUUGAACAGCGUGACCAAUCCUGAAAGAACUGCACAGGGGAUUAAAUGGGUUAACAUAAGCGAAAACAUUGCCAUUCAUCAGCAAAAUGGCCAAGCUGGAAAAUACAGAUGAACCGAGUGUAUAGAGGCAGAAAGGCAAUGCAAAGAGUUCUGUGAUAUGGGAUUAUGUAGCAGUGUAAUAAUAUAGAUGUGGCUGCUACAGAAAAUGCGCUGUCUUGGGACUUUGAAAUCACCAGCCAUGCUUCAAGGGAACAAAUCUCUCCAUAUGGUUUUGAGGAGAACACACAAAAAAAUAUUUUCCAGCCACUUUCAGAUAUAAUUCCUCCUUAGGUAGGAGGGAAAAGAGGAUAACUAUCCAUCAGAUCUCAGAGAAAUCGAUCAACUCGCACGUGUCUGCCGAUCCGGCCAUGUGCCCAUCACUAUGUUUGUUUCUGUGCAGAACGUCACACGAGGUAGCUGGGGAAGAAAGAACCAUGCACACUGAAUAAUUAACAGCCUUCGUGGAGGAGGUGGCAAGACCUUAAAGGAAGGCUAAGAUUCAAAGGAGAGGGUGAGGAAGAUGAAUGAAGGGGAAGGGAGGAGCAGGUGGAAGGCGUGAUAAAGACAAUGAAGGAAAGGUGAAGAGUGAGAAGAGAGAACAGGAACCGCACAUAGAAUCAGUGUUAGAGAGAGAAGGACCCAAGUGGGCCUGAGCCUGAAAGGCUACAUGGAGGCUAAACAUCUGGAUGAAGCCAAAUUAUGAUCUAGAUUGAGGAAUCUGGGUCUGACGCUUGUGUGACUUGGUCAGUGACAGGGCAUUGCCACAGAAGAAGGAAUGCAAUCUGACUGACAAUUGGGGGAAACAACAAACAGGAAAUAGUUCUGAUCAGACCGUGGCAUCUAAAAAAGCUAAAGAAGAUGCCCCAAUUAUCAGUCAGCUCUGUCUUUCAUGAAAAGAAGAAAAUGAUUUUAUUUGAAUCAUCGAGUUUAUUUGGUUCAAGAGAUUUCUCAGAAACAAAGGGAAAGGGUGGGGUGCUGAGGGAAUUGAUAGUGAAAAUCCUCAGCUUGGAAAGAUGGAAAAGCACCAUUCUUGCCCCAAGCCUAACAAAGAGGAGAUUGCCCAAGUGAUACAGCCAAGUUCAUGCUGUGACUUAUUAAAAGCAAUUAACAGAAGUCUUUCUGGUUCAUCAAAGGUUACUGAAGGAAUACAUUUUGUGAGUUAAAAGUGGAAGAUCCCUGGAGACACUAAGUCUCAAGCAAGAAAGUCACUCAGGAGGCUGGUGUGUACCAUCCAGGAAGGAAUGUGGUGGCUGGUGGCUGUCCGGGAUAGAUGGAGAGAUCAGCCAGAGAGAGGCACACCUUCAUCAAGUCUCAGCGGCUGAGGGACACUGGCUUGCUUGCCCCCAUGGUAGGCAAGAUCAGAACCGACCUUCAGGUUUUGGAGUGACAGUUGAGAGGUGCGAUUUGGUGAAGCAAGACAGCUGAAGAGAAAUAGUGCCCACACAAAUGUUAGGAAAUCGCCUCAGAGGACCUGGGACGGCUGAGAAUCUAAGAGUUACUUCUGCCUCAAGGGUCUCCCGCGUUUUUGUAAUGCCAAGGACAGAAAAGGACAAGAGAGUGCUACCGUCCCAGCCCCAGGCAUUGUGCCUGCGGUGGAGGUCUCUGCCCAAGGCGGACGCCAGGGGUCAGUGCAGGCCCAGCUUCCCCAGCUGGAGCAUCGCCGAGGUCUCCUGCCUUCAGCGAGUGUUCAUUACGGGAAAGAAUUUAAGAGAACUCUAAAUGGCAGAUUCGUUUAUGAUAGCAGCAUUUACAGGCAGUUGUAAUUAUAGUGUAUGGAAAACAAUUAUUCCCUCCUAAAAUUGCUCUUUUAAUUUUCUCUUAUUUGUCCCACAGUGAAUGUUAAAUAAGCCUCAUUGCCUUGCAGACAGCCUCCGAUAUGUGCACAGAGAGAAGCUCCUAAGCACACACCACACUGUAACCUGCACACGCGCACACUCAUUCCUAGUAUACAUGAUAGGCAAGCUCUGAAAAGCACACGGGUCCAGUCAAUAGCUUCCCACUACAGCCCCAUCCCAAGCACAGUUCAGGGAUGCCAUGUGGGAAACUCCUCCCCAUCCAUCAGAACAGGCCUCAGGAGGCACUACUCAGUGAACCCUUCCUCUCCCUCCUGAGUCCCAGACAAGUCUUUGCAGCUCCAAACUGUAUUGCACCGUGUUUCUGGGCAGACAUCUUCACCUCACAAACUUUCAUCCACUCCUUUGUCUACACUCCUCUCUUUACAUAUAAGAUUCUUAAGCCACAAAGUUCUUGCUUUUUUUUUUUUUUUUAUCACCAGUCUCCUAACACUUGGCCAGUGGGAAAGCCUGUUACUGGUCCCUGUCUCUGCCGAUGGCUCAAGAUAGUGUGCUCCCGAAGGAAGCCACAAAUUGAAUAUCUUCCCAAAAUGUUAGUUUGCAAGGAGCUGUGUUUUCACUUCCAACCUCUACCAAGGAGAGUAGAAAACCAGUCAAGGUCCAGGGCUGAAUGCAUCUUUGUGGAGACUUCAGUCACAUUGUGGAACCCUGACCAAAAUGGAUCCUAUUUCAAAGUGUCUUGGACCUUAGUGAGGUUUCAAAUACUUGGGGCUCAACAGAGGUCUCCAAUCGUCCUUGAGGAGAAAACAAAUGUCUUUAAACUCAGACUGUGGGACAGAGAGGUGGGAAUGGGAAACAAAACACAUCUUCACAGUCAAGGAUCAAUGACCCUUAUUAAAUGGAUUAGGCGGUGACAUUACAUGGGUUCUCGGGCCAUUUUAGAGUGGUUAAUGUUGGCGGAUGGAGGCCAAGCUCUAUUAAGGAAGGAUGUGGAAGUCUGUCCCCCUGAUUUAAAAGUUUGCAUUGGAGGAAGGAUGUUUGCAAUUUUCGUGAAGUCUUACUGUUAAUUGGUUGUCUUGGCCUUGAAAUGGUCUUGAUUGUUAAGUAGUUCUCUCUUUUCACACAAGGAGAGAGAAAGCAGGAGGAAGGAAUUUCAUGUGAGGGACAGAAAAAAAUGAAAAUGAUACUGAUGCCAAGUGAACCGUCUGUUGGAUGUUUGAUGUUGGCAGGCUGGACUCUUCUCUAUUCAUCCAUGUUCUCUCUGUCUUGGCUCAAAUGCUUAAGGGACUUCUGAAUCUCUUUGUUUCCUGUUUCUACCACAAAUGUAUAAAAUAGUCCCAAGAAUGCCUGCCACUUCAUAUCCAAGUCUUUUUUUUUUUCUUGUUUGUGCUGCUAUAACAAAGUACCAUAGACUCAGUAGCUCACAUACAAUAAAAAGUUUAUUUCUCACAGUUCUGGAAGCUGAGAUAUCUGACAUCAACUACCACAUUAGUUGUCUGGCUCCUUAGAGACAGUGCUUUUCACUUGUUCUCACAGGCAGGGAGAUCAGCAAACUUCCUGGCACCUCGUUUAGAAGGGUACUGUCAACUGUCAUUGACCUGUGCAAAUCUGUCUGCAAGUGCUGAGAUUUGAGGACCUUAAGGAAUGGGGUGGACUACAGUUUAAUGCUUUACUUCAGUUUCAGUGUACUUCUAAACAUGACUGUAACAAAGAAAGCAACAAUCCAGGGAAGGUUGCUUGAGUUUGGAAAAAGAUGAAAGUAAACGUCAGUAAGCACAUACUAAAUAUUAACAGAGCAGCCCUUCCCGGAACUUUCUCAGGACAGACCAAUUUGAACACAAUGCCUGGCAUAGACUAUAGAAGGCCAUGUCCAGAUACAGGAUACACUGAGGGCAGCACUCAGGACAUCCUUUUCGCAAGACUGAGCUCUAUAUGUAAGUUCCUACAGGCACUAAUCCCAUUUAUGAGGGCCUUGCCCUCAUGACACAAUCUCUCCAAAUAUUGUCUGAUUGGUGAUUAGGAUUCAACACAGGAAUGUGUGGGCAUGGAGCUGAGGAAAGAAUAGUCAUUCCCAUCAUUGUACCCAGUGCUCAUAAGGUUGCAGAAUACAGGCCUGAGUUUUCAUCCUCCAUCUGUCUUAAAAGUCCCAUGAAGAAAACCAAAGGUGUUAGAAGAUAGACACAAUGUCUUGUUAAGCAUAGAUUCUAGGACUUCCAUAAGCAGUGUUUCUUAGAAAAACAUGUGUUUGAAAGUUGAAAAAGAACUAAAAUGUAUAGAAACAUAGACAAUGUAGUCUUGUAUAUUCUUAAAUUAUUUGUACACAAAAAUAUAUAAAGUAUGUAAAUGUGUUACAUGUAUUUAUAUUUUACUAAAUUAUUUGAUUAUUUAACAAUUAGUAUUAUUUAAUAAUUAUCUAAGACCCCUCCAUGGCUUUGGAAUGAACUGUUCCAGGAAGGGAAUCUAACCUGAGGUUUCUCACUAAGGUUAUCUCAGAUCCAUUUGGCCUCCUAGCUCUAUUGCUAAAGGAGGGACAGAGGGAUGUUUGGAAUGAAAGCUGAGGCUGUGGUUCCUUCUUCAAGUAGGAAGUAGGACCAGAUAAUCCCACUUGAGCUUCCAAAAGUGUCAUUCCAUUGCCUCUUGACAGAGUUUGAAUAUGGAUCUUCCCAAGCUCAUGGUGAGAUUCAGUUGUCAUUCUGGCAGUGUUGGGACGUGGACCCUUUAAUAAGCAAGGUCUGUAAGAGGGAAUCAUGAUGCUCUCAUGGGAGUGAGUUCAUUAUCACAAGAACGGGUUAUCAUAAAGCAAGUCUGAUCUCAUAAUUUUUCCUUUUACUAAGUUAUGGGACAGCACAAAACCCUCAAAGGAAACCAAGUGGGUAAUGGGACCAAGUCUUUGAACUUCCUACUCCCCCAAAUUGUGAGCCAAAUAUCCUCUCUGGUUUAUAUACUACACCACCUAAAACAGAAACAGAUUUAGACACUUGUUUCUCUAGAGGCAAAAAUGGUGAGGCAAAAAUGUUUUGCCUGAAUGGGACUUAUUCAUCUUUCAUUCACCUGUAAACUCUGCCCAGGUCAGAUUCAUUGAACAAGUUUCUAAAAUGGUAGGUAGUACAUAAACAAGCAAGGCUUGGUAAGCACAAGUGCACUUCUGACACAGGGUGGCUGGUUAGAGCACAGAGGCAGGCUCAUUCCACAGAGCUGCUCUCCCUGGGGGUCAUAGUAAAGACAGAAGUAAAUGAUGACCAAGCUAUCUUACAUGUUUCAGCAAUUCCCGUGUUUUCAGCUUUUGGCUGAACACUUGGCAUAAAGGACCACAUUGAAUCCCCCCAAUUAUCCUGGAAGUAGGUUCUUAACCAUUGUGUUCUUGGGGGACAGUGCUGCUGAUGUGAAAGCCACCUAGGAAAUAGGAGAGAUGCAGAAUAACUAAGACUGCCUCCAAACAAUUCCAAAAACGCUCAGAAUCUGCUCAUAAAUAGUUUCAUUCUUUCAGAGGUGAAAGGGACGUCGUCCUACCCCAAUGCAGAAGAAAGGCUUUGUUGUUUGAGACCACGUCUUGCCCCUUGACUAGCCUCUUAACUUACCUAGCUCAGACUGACCUUGCACUUGUGAUCUUCCUGCCUCAGCUUCCUGGAGGAGAAAACUUUUUAAUGAUCAGCAUUGUUUACCAUCCAGGACAAUCAAACAAAACUGCCCUGUGAGAAUUUUACCGUCAUUAUUGCUGGUAAUUUUUAAUAAAGAAAAACAUCUUCAUCUUUCCCCAGUGAGUCCUGGCCUCCACCCACCCACAUUAAUCACUUCAAAAUAGCCUGAGAAUUCAUUUAAUGUCACUGCUUAAUCACUUUAUUAAAUGUCACUGCUCCUUCUAUGUGAGUAUUUGUUCUUAGCUCAUCUCUGACAUCCAUUGGUGCCUAAGAACUCCAACCCCCCUUUUUUUAUGAAGAGACUGGGAGUUUCAUGCUGUGCCUGCCUCUGGUACCCUUUGCCAGAAAGACAAACUGGCUUGAAAUCCUCUCAUAGAAAGCCAUUGUUAGAGUUAAGAGUAGCUGUCUCCCAGUCCCUCUCCACAAGGCUAUUUUAUUCUGUAAUCUUUUGUUUUUAAUUAUUAUUCUCAAGAGAAAAAAUGGCAUAAACAUUUUAGAAACUUCAGGAGGGAGAGGUAACUGAGAAAGGGAAAAAUGUUAACCUACUGGAAGAAGACUUUCUGUCACCAACAGAAAUGAUACCAAGAUGGUUUCUGCCCCACUGACUAAAACCAAGAGUUUUAGCAAGGGAGGGUGGCGUGUACUAGUCAUUUCAGCACUCAGGAAGGAAGGUGAGGUAGGGGAAUCAUGAGGUGAAGGUCAGCCUGGACUGCAUAGCAAGACCUAUCAAAAGAAGAAAGAAAAAAAAAGUAACAAGAAAUUGACCAAGAUGUUGUGAUACUACUGAAGUUAAAGUUGUCUUGCCCAACCCCACUGGCAAAAUAUGUGGAUGUGGGAGGGUGGCAAAGGUACAAUUGAUGCAGGAAGAACCUUCUCUGGAUGGAUAUGGUAUGUACUUAAGUUGAUACCAUCUUGGAUAGUAAAAUAAAGCUAAGAGCCACUGAUUGUUUCCUGUGUGUUAUGAGUAA